rnacentral:rRNA from 1 species
CUUGACCAAAUUACGUGCCAGCAGUCGCGGCAAUACGCAGAAGACAAGUGUUAUUCAUCUUUAAUCGGUUUAAAGGGUACCUAGACGGAAAAUCAAGCCAUAGUAGGGACUAGUUUUCUAGAGUUUUAUGGAAGAAAGUCGAAUAUCUGGAGUAGAGAUAAAAUAUGAUAAUACCAGAGAGACGGACAACGGCAUAGGCAACUUUCUAUGUAAAAACUGACGUUGAGGGACGAAGCCCUGGGUAACGAUAAGGAUUAGAUACCCCAGUAGUCCAGGGAGACAAUGAUGAGUGUCAUAGGCUAGAUAACCUAGUUUAUAAAUGAAAGUGCAAGCACUCCACCUUAAGACUAAAGCGGCAACGCCCAAAUUGAAAUCAUUAGACCGUUCCUGAAACCAGUAGUGAAGUAUGUUAUUUAAUUCGAUGAUCCGCGAAUAACCUUACCACGUUUUGAAUAUUAUUAAAUUAAUACAAGCGCUGCACGGCUGUCUUUAGUUAAUGUCGUGAGACUUUGGUUAACUCCUUUAAUUAACGAAAACCCUUGUUUUAUUU